GAUUGGUUUUAGAUGCAUCCAAAACCAUUUUCACUAGUGUUAAAAUCGGUAAAUUGAUUUGCAUUUUCCUGCAGGGUUGGUUUUGGACGCGUCCAAAACCAUUCUCAUGAGCUAUAAAUUGGCCAAUUUGUUUGCACUUGUUUAGAGAUUGGUUUUGAAUGCAUCUAAAACCAUUUCCAAACGCACUAAAAUCGGCUGAUUUGUUUUCAUUUGUCUGGAGAUUUUUUGCUAAAAUCAGCGAAUUGGUUUGCAUUUCUCUAGGAUAGUUUUGGACAUAUCGGCAAAUUGAUUUGCAUUUUCCUACAGGGUUGGUAUUGGACGCGUCCAAAACCAUUCUCAUGAGCUAUAAAUUGCCUAAUUUGUUUGCAUUUGUCUAGGGAUUGGUUUUGGAUGUAUCCAAAACCAUUUUCAUUGGCGCUAAAAUCGGUAAAUUGAUUUGCAUUUUCCUAUAGGUUUGGUUUUGGACGCAUCCAAAACCAUUCUCAUGAGCUAUGAAUUGCCUAAUUUGUUUGCAUUUGUCUAGGGAUUGGUUUUGGAUGCAUCCAAAACCAUUUUCAUUAGCGCUAAAAUCGGUAAAUUGAUUUCCAUUUUCCUUAGCUGAUGCUAUCUUAACCAAAACUAUUGUGAAUUAUAGCAUAUUCGUACCAUAGAUUCCUUGUAUAUUAUUGCCUUUAUUGUAUAUAAUGUAUCUUAAUAAAGUGGGU